GGCUUCGUGGUGUAAUGGUAGUACACUCGGCGCAUAUUCGAGAGGUCUAGGUUCGAGUCCUGGCGAGGGCA
rfam:Stegodyphus mimosarum contig59732, whole genome shotgun sequence.